rnacentral:rRNA from 1 species
AUUGAACGCUGGCGGAAUGCUUUACACAUGCAAGUCGAACGGUAGAGGGGCAACCCUUGAGAGUGGCGAACGGGUGAGUAAUGUAUCGGAACAUGCCCAGUCGUGGGGGAUAACGUAGCGAAAGUUACGCUAAUACCGCAUACGAUCUAUGGAUGAAAGCGGGGGAUCGCAAGGCCUCGCGCGGUUGGAGUGGCCGAUAUCAGAUUAGGUAGUUGGUGGGGUAAAGGCCUACCAAGCCGACGAUCUGUAGCUGGUCUGAGAGGACGACCAGCCACACUGGGACUGAGACACGGCCCAGACUCCUACGGGAGGCAGCAGUGGGGAAUUUUGGACAAUGGGCGAAAGCCUGAUCCAGCCAUUCCGCGUGCAGGAAGAAGGCCUUCGGGUUGUAAACUGCUUUUGUACGGAACGAAACGCGCUGUGCUAAUACCACGGCGUAAUGACGGUACCGUAAGAAUAAGCACCGGCUAACUACGUGCCAGCCGCCGCUGUAAGAC